GAUGAACGCUGGCGGCGUGCCUAAUACAUGCAAGUCGAGCGAACAGACGAGGAGCUUGCUCCUCUGACGUUAGCGGCGGACGGGUGAGUAACACGUGGAUCACCUACCUAUAAGACUGGGAUAACUUCGGGAAACCGGAGCUAAUACCGGAUAAUAUAUUGAACCGCAUGGGUCAAUAGUGAAAGACGGUUUUGCUGUCACUUAUAGAUGGAUCCGCGCCGCAUUAGCUAGUUGGUAAGGUAACGGCUUACCAAGGCGACGAUGCGUAGCCGACCUGAGAGGGGGAUCGGCCACACUGGAACGGAGACACGGUCCAGACUCCUACGGGAGGCAGCAGUAGGGAAUCUUCCGCAAUGGGCGAAAGCAUGACGGAGCAACGCCGCGUGAGUGAUGAAGGUCUUCGGAUCGUAAAACUCUGUUAUUAGGGAAGAACAGAUGUGUAAGUAACUAUGCACGUCUUGACGGUACCUAAUCAGAAAGCCACGGCUAACUACGUG
rnacentral:rRNA from 1 species